rnacentral:rRNA from 1 species
UACGUAGGGACCAAGCGUUGUUCGGAUUUACUGGGCGUAAAGGGCGCGUAGGCGGCAAUUCAAGUCAGCUGUGAAAUCUCCGGGCUUAACUCGGAACGGUCAGCUGAUACUGCUUUGCUAGAGUGCGGAAGGGGCAAUCGGAAUUCUCGGUGUAGCGGUGAAAUGCGCAGAUAUCAGGAGGAACACCGGUGGCGAAGGCGGUUCUCUGGGCAUGACCUGACGCUGAGGAGCGAAAGCGUGGGGAGCAAACAGG